rnacentral:lncRNA from 1 species
CUUCCCUUAAAAUGGAGGUCUGGGGAGGAACUCACCAAUCAUAAGAAGAGGCCUUAGGAAUAGGCUAAUCUUCCAAGGUGAAAAAGUCAUGGAAGAGAAAGAGAUCCAGAGAAUCAGAAACAGUCUAAAGAAGAAUAAAGGAUUGAACAAGAGUUUUAGGAUCAAAUAAGGCUUAAAAAGAAUCUGUUUGUUAAGAACUCAGAUUUCUAAUCCUAGUUCCAUUUCUAUCUCUUGAAUGUCAUAAAGUAGUUAAUUCACCUCAAAUGCAAUUUCGUAUAGUUGUAAAUGAUUGCACAUGAUUACAAAAGCCAUUUGAAUAUAUUCUCUUUCUCUCUCUUAGACUCUCUUUUUUUAUCUCUCUUGCUUUCCCUCUCUCUCCCUAUCCUUCCUCCAAUGUUUUUGGUGCUACACUCUGUCCAGAGAUUGUAUCUACCCCAAACCCAAUCCACCCUAUCAUCCUCAACCUGGAUUCCAUGACAAUCCUGGAGGUAACAUUCAUGAUAUAGAUCUGGAUGAUGGGCGCUACCCACCAAAACCUAGACCCCCAUCAGGUGGAGGAGGAUAUUCAGAUUAUGGAAAUGCUCAUGGGGAUAAUAUAGCUAGAAUUGUUUCUCCUAUUGUUUCUGUGGUUGUGGUAUCACUUGUUGGAGCUGCUACAAGCUAUUUUGCUUAUAACCGGAGGAGAAACUGCUGCAGAACUAAUGGUGAGCUUCAAAUUAGAUUUUAAUAAUUUAGGUUAUAUAGCCUCACUGCUUUCA